rnacentral:rRNA from 1 species
AUUGAACGCUGGCGGCAGGCCUAACACAUGCAAGUCGAACGAGUGGCGGACGGGUGAGUAAUGUCUGGGAAACUGCCCGAUGGAGGGGGAUAACUACUGGAAACGGUAGCUAAUACCGCAUACCAUCGGAUGUGCCCAGAUGGGAUUGGCUAGUAGGUGGGGUAAAGGCUCACCUAGGCGACGAUCCCUAGCUGGUCUGAGAGGAUGACCAGCCACACUGGAACUGAUACACGGUCCAGACUCCUACGGGAGACAGCAGUGGGGAAUAUUGCAAAAUGGGCGCAAGCCUGAUGCAGCCAUGCCGCGGGUAUGAAGAAGGCCUUAGGGGUGUAAAGUACUCUCAGCGAUGCUGCGUUACUCGCAGAAUAAGCACCGGCUAACUCAGUGCCAGCAGCCGCGGUCUUAC